rnacentral:rRNA from 1 species
GCAGUAGCCGCGGUAAUACGUAGGGGGCGAGCGUUGUCCGAAGUUACUGGGCGUAAAGCGCGCGUAGGCGGCUUCUUAAGUCUGAGGUGAAAGGUUCAACGCUUAACGUGAACAGUGCCUUGGAUACUGGGGAGCUUGAGUAUGGGAGAGGGCAGCGGAAUGGCUGGUGUAGCGGUGAAAUGCGUAGAUAUCAGUCGGAACACCCAUGGCGAAGGCAGCUGCCUGGCCUAAUAUUGACGCUGAGGUGCGAAAGCGUGGGGAGCGAACGGGAUUAGAUACCCGUGUAGUCCCUGUCUCUUAUA